CACGGAGUUAGCCGAUCCUUAUUCUUCCAGUACAUUCAGCUUCCUACACGUAGAAAGGUUUAUUCCUGGACAAAAGCAGUUUACAACCCAUAGGGCAGUCAUCCUGCACGCGGCAUGGCUGGUUCAGGCUUCCGCCCAUUGACCCAAUAUUCCUUACUGCUGCCUCCCGUAGGAGUCUGGUCCGUGUCUCAGUACCAGUGUGGGGGAUUCUCCUCUCAGAGCCCCUAGACAUCGUCGCCUUGGUAAGCCGUUACCCUACCAACUAGCUAAUGUCACGCGAGCCCAUCUCCAUCCUAUAAAUAUUUAAUCAACUGAACAUGCGAACUGUUGAUAUUAUGCGGUGUUAAUCUCUCUUUCGAGAGGCUAUCCCCCUGAUAGAGGUAGGUUGCUCACGCGUUACGCACCCGUGCGCCACUCUCACCGUCUUCGAGCAAGCUCUCCGACGGAUCCCGUCCGACUUGCAUGUAUUAGGCCUGCCGCUAGCGUUCA
rnacentral:rRNA from 1 species